GACAGAGGGUGCAAACGUUGUUCGGAAUUACUGGGCGUAAAGGGCGCGUAGGCGGCCGCCUAAGUCAGACGUGAAAUCCCUCGGCUCAACCGGGGAACUGCGUCUGAUACUGGAUGGCUUGAAUCCGGGAGAGGGAUGCAGAAUUCCAGGUGUAGCGGUGAAAUGCGUAGAUAUCUGGAGGAAUACCGGUGGCGAAGGCGGCAUCCUGGACCGGCAUUGACGCUGAGGCGCGAAAGCCAGGGGAGCAAACGGG
rnacentral:rRNA from 1 species